GUUUCAGGGCGGGGUGAAAUUCCCCACUGGCGGUGAUAGUCCGCGACCCGAAGCGAAAGCUUCGGCUGAAUGGGUGUGAUUCCCAUACCAACGGUAUAGUCCGGAUGAAAGAAG
rnacentral:ncRNA from 1 species